AUGUCACUCACCGCGAGCUCAUUCGCCGUACUCCUCCUCCUCGUCCUCUCCACGUGGCCGACGUGCCACGCCACCCACAACAUCACCGCCAUCCUCGCGGCGCGCCGGGACAUGUCCGAGUUCAGCCGCCUGCUCACGACGACGGGCCUUGCGGACGAAAUCAACGAGCGCAACACCAUCACAGUCCUCGCGGUCGACGACGCCGACAUGGCUCCGCUCAGGGCGCGUCAUCUCCCGCGGGAAGCGCUCCGACACGUGCUCUCCCUGCACAUCCUCGUCGACUACUACGACCACGACAAGCUGCACCGCCUCCCCGGCGGCUCCGCCGACGUGUCCACCCUGUUCCAGGCCUCCGGCGACGCGCCUGGCAGCGCCGGCAUGGUGGAGAUCUCAGAGCGCCGGGGCGGGAGCGUGGCGUUCGUGCCCCAGGACGCCGGCGACGACGCGCGCCCCACCAGCGUGCUCUUCGUCAAGCCCAUCCACGAGGAGCCGUACAACAUCUCGGUGCUGCAGGUGGGCGCCGUCAUGUCGUCCCCGGCCGCCGAGGCGCCCUCGUCGCCGGAGACUUCAACUCCAACCUCAAGGCACAACGCCACCGACGUCGUGCCCAAGACCAAGAAAGGGACCGGGUCAGCCGACGACACCGCCGACGCGCCUUCGGCGGACGACGGGGACGACGAACGAGAGAACCAUGCGAAGAAGAACGGCGCGAUCAGCGCGGCUCCCGGCCGGCUAUCCUUGGCUCUGGCGUUCCUGCUGGCGAUCAAGAUCGUCGUGCGCGUCUGA
rnacentral:rRNA from 1 species